GGGCUCCCUUCGGCAGCACAUAUUCUAAAAUUAGAACUGAUACCAGAGAGGAACAGCAUGGCCCCUGCGUAAGGAUGACACACAAAUGCGUGUAACUUUCCAUGUUUUU